UUCCACUUCCCCCCCUGUUAAAAUGGUUCUGCCCCCGUUGCUUUCUCCUCUCUUUUAAUGUCAAUCUCCCUACCUCCUCCCCCUGUCUCCCUAGAAACUGAUGUAUCAUUCCCUUGAUCCCUCCCCAGUGCCGUGUCCGUCACUCAACAACCCAUCCCCUUUUUCCAGAGACUUCUACCUUGAGCGUUGAGUGAUUGGUUCAGGGGCCAGGGUCGCUCCCCAUAGAUACUCCCAUUGGUACUCUUAGAUGUCAAUCUUCCCCAUUCCCAUGCCAUCCUGCAUCCCAUUGGCAGGUGGAGUCCUCUGUAUUCUCUCCUACCAGCACUGCAAAGCAUCUCGUCCAUGGAAGGCGAAAGCCUUAGCCACUUUCCUGGGUUUCUGAGGAUCAGGAGGAUGGCCCCUGCUGGUAGCUGUGUCAGAAGUAGCUGGGACAUUCCGAGUGGACGCUUGGACAGGCACAGCUUCAGAAGAGUAGAGGGGGUGAGAGCAAUGAGCUUGAAGAUCUCAAGGUUGGUGCAGAAGGAUGGGUGCUUCGGGCAGAGAUUUUCCUGCAGCCCCUGGUGAGGCAGCUGUGCUUCUGUAGCCCAAGGAGAUCCAUGGGGGAGCAGAGUUCCACUUGCAGCCCUUGGUGGACACCCACACCAGAGCAGGUGGGUGCCUGAAGGAGGAUGUGGCUGUGUGGGAAGCCCACCCUGGAACAGGCUCCUGACACGUGGCCCUGUGGAGAGAGGAGCCCACGUUGGAGGAGGUUUGCUGGCAGCACUUGUGACCCCAUGGGAGACCCAUGCUGAAACAUCCUGUUCCUGAGGGACUGCAUGCCUUGGGAGGGAUCCACUCUAGGGACCUGCUCACAAGGAGCUGCAGCCUAUGGGAAAGCCUCAUGUUGCAGAAGUUCUUGGAAGCCUGUCUACUUUGGGAGGGACCCCAUGCUGCAGCAGAGGAAGGAUUCGUCUCCCUGAGGGGGAAGCAGCAGGAGAAACAAUGUGUGAUGAACUGACCAUAACCCCUUUUCCACACCUCCCUCAGCUGCUUGGAGGGGAGGAAUAAAGAACUGUGAAUUAAGUUGAGCCAGAGAGGGAGAGAGGGUAUGGGAAAGGUGUCUUAAAACUUGUUUUGUUUCUUACUGUUCUGCUGUGCUUUUGAUUGUUUAAAUAAAUGUAAGUAAUUAGCCAGA